CUUACCAUGCAAGUCGAGCGGUAAGGCCUUUCGGGGUACACGAGCGGCGAACGGGUGAGUAACACGUGGGUGACCUGCCCUCCACUUCGGGAUAAGCCUGGGAAACUGGGUCUAAUACCGGAUAGGACCUUCUGGUGCAUGCUGGUUGGUGGAAAGUUUUUUCGGUGGGGGAUGGGCCCGCGGUCUAUCAGCUUGUUGGUGGGGUGAUGGCCUACCAAGGCGACGACGGAUAGCCGGCCUGAGAGGGUGAUCGGCCACACUGGGACUGAGACACGGCCCAGACUCCUACGGGAGGCAGCAGUGGGGAAUCUUGCGCAAUGGGCGGAAGCCUGACGCAGCAACGCCGCGUGGGGGAUGACGGCCUUCGGGUUGUAAACCUCUUUCGCGAUCGACGAAGGCUUGUUUUCUACAGGUUGACGGUAGGUCGAGAAGAAGCACCGGCCAACUACGUGCCAGCAGCCGCGGUAAUACGUAGGGUGCGAGCGUUGUCCGGAAUUAUUGGGCGUAAAGAGCUCGUAGGCGGUGUGUCGCGUCGGCCGUGAAAACCUGGGGCUCAACUCUGGGCGUGCGGUCGAUACGGGCAUCACUUGAGUUCGGCAGGGGAGACUGGAAUUCCUGGUGUAGCGGUGAAAUGCGCAGAUAUCAGGAGGAACACCGGUGGCGAAGGCGGGUCUCUGGGCCGAUACUGACGCUGAGGAGCGAAAGCAUGGGUAGCGAACAGGAUUAGAUACCCUGGUAGUCCAUGCCGUAAACGUUGGGCGCUAGGUGUGGGGUCCAUUCCACGGGUUCCGUGCCGCAGCUAACGC
rnacentral:rRNA from 1 species